rnacentral:rRNA from 1 species
GAGCGAACGGACGAGAAGCUUGCUUCUCUGAUGUUAGCGGCGGACGGGUGAGUAACACGUGGAUAACCUACCUAUAAGACUGGGAUAACUUCGGGAAACCGGAGCUAAUACCGGAUAAUAUUUUGAACCGCAUGGUUCAAAAGUGAAAGACGGUCUUGCUGUCACUUAUAGAUGGAUCCGCGCUGCAUUAGCUAGUUGGUAAGGUAACGGCUUACCAAGGCAACGAUGCAUAGCCGACCUGAGAGGGUGAUCGGCCACACUGGAACUGAGACACGGUCCAGACUCCUACGGGAGGCAGCAGUAGGGAAUCUUCCGCAAUGGGCGAAAGCCUGACGGAGCAACGCCGCGUGAGUGAUGAAGGUCUUCGGAUCGUAAAACUCUGUUAUUAGGGAAGAACAUAUGUGUAAGUAACUGUGCACAUCUUGACGGUACCUAAUCAGAAAGCCACGGCUAACUACGUGCCAGCAGCCGCGGUAAUACGUAGGUGGCAAGCGUUAUCCGGAAUUAUUGGGCGUAAAGCGCGCGUAGGCGGUUUUUUAAGUCUGAUGUGAAAGCCCACGGCUCAACCGUGGAGGGUCAUUGGAAACUGGAAAACUUGAGUGCAGAAGAGGAAAGUGGAAUUCCAUGUGUAGCGGUGAAAUGCGCAGAGAUAUGGAGGAACACCAGUGGCGAAGGC